UACGGAGGGGGCUAGCGUUGUUCGGAAUUACUGGGCGUAAAGGGCGCGUAGGCGGUCUUCUAAGUCUUGUGUGAAAUCCCUCGGCUUAACUGAGGAACUGCACGGGAUACUGGAUGACUUGAGUUCGGGAGAGGGAAGCGGAAUUCCGGGUGUAGCGGUGAAAUGCGUAGAUAUCCGGAGGAACACCGGUGGCGAAGGCGGCUGUCUGGGCCAGUUCUGACGCUGAGGCGCGAAAGCGUGGGGAGCAAACAGG
rnacentral:rRNA from 1 species